ACUAGCUGAGAGGAGGUGCAUGGCCGUCGUCAGUUCGUACUGUGAAGCAUCCUGUUAAGUCAGGCAACGAGCGAGACCCACGCCAACAGUUGCCAGCUCGUCCUCCGGGGAUGGUGGGGACGACUGUUGGGACCGCCUCUGCUAAAGAGGAGGAAGGAAUGGGCAACGGUAGGUCAGCAUGCCCCGAAUUAUCUGGGCUACACGCGGGCUACAAUGGGUGGGACAAUGGGUAUCGACACCGAAAGGUGAAGGCAAUCUCCUAAACCCAUCCGUAGUUCGGAUUGUGGGCUGCAACUCGCCCACAUGAAGCUGGAAUCUGUAGUAAUCGUGUCUCAAAAUGGCACGGUGAAUAUGUCCCUGCUCCUU
rnacentral:rRNA from 1 species